CUGAGGUACUCAUGGUAAUCACCGUAAUACUAUUUUCCUACUCCUUGAAAGAAAGAUAGAUAGUACUAUGCCUGUAAUUUCAAAAAUUUUAUGCAGCUAAAGUAUUAGAUUAAAUAAUUUAAUCUAAUUUACAUGCAUAAGAUCUAAUCUAGACUACCAUGAUAAGAUUUAUAAUAUGAUUUAAUAUGCACAUAAGAUCUGAAAAUAAAACUUGCAUCGAUCUAAUCGAUGCUGCAAUCU
rnacentral:lncRNA from 1 species